AAAAAAACAAUAUAUUAACAUACACUAUUUAAUAAAAAGGUGCAAAGGAAGACUAAACGUAUUAAGUUUUAAAUGGUUUAAAUGUUUGUUUUUUUUAAAAAUAAAUAAAAGAAGAGAAUGUGAGAGAAACGGUAACAAAACCCAGAAAUGUUCGUCUUCCUCACUAACGACAUCCUCCAUUCUCUCAAUCUCUCGACCUCAACCUCU
rnacentral:lncRNA from 1 species